rnacentral:rRNA from 1 species
CGUCGCCGCGGUAAUACGUAGGGUGCAAGCGUUAAUCGGAAUUACUGGGCGUAAAGCGUGCGCAGGCGGUUAUAUAAGUCAGAUGUGAAAUCCCCGGGCUCAACCUGGGAACUGCAUUUGAGACUGUAUGGCUAGAGUGUGUCAGAGGGGGGUAGAAUUCCACGUGUAGCAGUGAAAUGCGUAGAUAUGUGGAGGAAUACCGAUGGCGAAGGCAGCCCCCUGGGAUAACACUGACGCUCAUGCACGAAAGCGUGGGGAGCAAACAGGAUUAGAUACCCCGGUAGUCCCUGUCUCUUAUACA